CAGCCGCCACGGGAAUACGUAGGGUGCAAGCGUUGUCCGGAAUUAUUGGGCGUAAAGAGCUCGUAGGCGGUCUGUCGCGCCGGCUGUGAAACCUCGGGGCUCAACCCCGAGCCUGCAGUCGAUACGGGCAGACUAGAGUUCGGUAGGGGAGACUGGAAUUCCUGGUGUAGCGGUGAGAUGCGCAGAUAUCAGGAGGAACACCGGUGGCGAAGGCGGGUCUCUGGGCCGAAACUGACGCUGAGGAGCGAAAGCGUGGGGAGCAAACAGGAUUAGAUACCCCAGUAGUCCCUGUCUCUUAUAC
rnacentral:rRNA from 1 species